rnacentral:rRNA from 1 species
AGGUCUUGACAUCUAGUGCCAACCUAAGAGAUUAGGCGUUCCCUUCGGGGACACUAAGACAGGUGGUGCAUGGCUGUCGUCAGCUCGUGUCGUGAGAUGUUGGGUUAAGUCCCGCAACGAGCGCAACCCUUAUUAUUAGUUGCCAGCAUUAAGUUGGGCACUCUAAUGAGACUGCCGGUAACAAACCGGAGGAAGGUGGGGAUGACGUCAAGUCAUCAUGCCCCUUAUGACCUGGGCUACACACGUGCUACAAUGGGCAGUACAACGAGGAGCGAACUUGUGAAGGCAAGCGAAUCUCUGAAAGCUGUUCUCAGUUCGGACUGUAGGCUGCAACUCGCCUACACGAAGCUGGAAUCGCUAGUAAUCGCGGAUCAGCACGCCGCGGUGAAUACGUUCCCGGGCCUU